rnacentral:lncRNA from 1 species
UUUGAUUCGGAUGAUGCGGAGAGAGCCACCGUGAGGUACAGAGGAAGGGAUAAGGAGAGCUGGUGGCCAGGAUGAGACUUAACCACCUCACUGGCACUUACUGUACAGUAAAACCUCUCUACCUUACCGUCUGGUCGUUCUAACACCGUGUUUGCCGUCACCACGGCCUAACAAUAAGUACCCCAUUUCACGGUGAAAAAGUAGGAGAUAAAGGAGUGAG